rfam:Helianthus annuus linkage group 17, whole genome shotgun sequence.
GUGUCCCUUAGGGAUCCUCCGAACACUUCAUUGGGAUAUUUUAUUAAUUAAGACUUCCUACUGAAGUGUUUGGGGGAACUCCAAGUGCCAC